rnacentral:rRNA from 1 species
GACGAACGCUGGCGGCGUGCCUAAUACAUGCAAGUAGAACGCUGAAGGAGGAGCUUGCUUCUCUGGAUGAGUUGCGAACGGGUGAGUAACGCGUAGGUAACCUGCCUGGUAGCGGGGGAUAACUAUUGGAAACGAUAGCUAAUACCGCAUAAUAGCAGUUGUUGCAUGACAACUGUUUGAAAGGUGCAAAUGCAUCACUACCAGAUGGACCUGCGUUGUAUUAGCUAGUUGGUGGGGUAACGGCUCACCAAGGCGACGAUACAUAGCCGACCUGAGAGGGUGAUCGGCCACACUGGGACUGAGACACGGCCCAGACUCCUACGGGAGGCAGCAGUAGGGAAUCUUCGGCAAUGGACGGAAGUCUGACCGAGCAACGCCGCGUGAGUGAAGAAGGUUUUCGGAUCGUAAAGCUCUGUUGUAAGAGAAGAACGAGUGUGAGAGUGGAAAGUUCACACUG